rnacentral:rRNA from 1 species
UACGUAGGUGGCAAGCGUUGUCCGGAUUUACUGGGCGUAAAGAGCGCGCAGGCGGUCGGAUAAGUCGAAUGUGAAAGCCCCCGGCUCAACUGGGGAGGGUCAUUCGAUACUGUUCGACUCGAAGGCAGGAGAGGGAAGUGGAAUUCCCGGUGUAGUGGUGAAAUGCGUAGAUAUCGGGAGGAACACCAGUGGCGAAGGCGACUUCCUGGCCUGUUCUUGACGCUGAGGCGCGAAAGCUAGGGGAGCGAACGGG